ensembl:snoRNA
GCAUGGGUUGGAUUUAUGGCAGGCCCGUCCCCCUGGGCCUUUCAUAGUGUCCCAUGCCAGAGCAAACUGUGGUCCCGAACCAUGGCCUGGCCUCGAUCUGUGGGCUACUGACACUGAAGAGAGUUGCACAGAG